GACGGAGGGUGCGAGCGUUAUUCGGGAUCAUUGGGCGUAAAGAGCGUGUAGGCGGCCGGUUAAGUCAGGUGUGAAAGCCCGGGGCUCAACCUCGGAAGUGCACUUGAAACUGGUCGGCUUGAGUUCGGGAGAGGGAAGCGGAAUUCCUGGUGUAGAGGUGAAAUUCGUAGAUAUCAGGAGGAACACCGGUGGCGAAGGCGGCUUCCUGGACCGAAACUGACGCUGAGACGCGAAAGCGUGGGGAGCAAACAGG
rnacentral:rRNA from 1 species